CGACCGGCGCACGGGUGAGUAACACGUAUGCAACCUGCCCUCUUCAGGGGGACAACCUUCCGAAAGGGAGGCUAAUCCCGCGUAUAUCGGUCUCGGGCAUCCGAGAUCGAGGAAAGAUUCAUCGGAAGAGGAUGGGCAUGCGGCGCAUUAGCUAGACGGCGGGGUAACGGCCCACCGUGGCGACGAUGCGUAGGGGUUCUGAGAGGAAGGUCCCCCACACUGGUACUGAGACACGGACCAGACUCCUACGGGAGGCAGCAG
rnacentral:rRNA from 1 species